rnacentral:rRNA from 1 species
GGUGAGUAACGGGUGGAAAACCUGCCCUUCAAUGGGGGAUAACAGUUCUAACGAGCUGCUAAUACCGCAUACGACCCUUGGUCCGCAUGGACCGGGGAUGAAAGAUGGCCUCUAUUUAUAAGCUGUCGUUGAAGGAUGGUUCCGCCUCCCAUUAGCUAGUUGGUGGGGUAAUGGCCUACCAAGGCGACGAUGGGUAGCCGGCCUGAGAGGGUGUCCGGCCACACUGGGACUGAGAUACGGCCCAGACUCCUACGGGAGGCAGCAGUCGAGAAGCUUCCGCAAUGGGGGAAACCCUGACGGAGCGACGCCGCGUGAACGAAGAAGGUCCUUUGGAUUGUAAAGUUCUGUCAGAUUGGGAAGAAAACUGUGCGGUUAAUACCCGUACAGCUUGACGGUACCAUCAGAGGAAGCACCGGCUAACUCCGUGCCAGCAGCCGCGGUAAUACGGAGGGUGCAAGCGUUGUUCGGAUUCACUGGGUAUAAAGGGUGCGCAGGCGGCCUGUUAAGUCAGGGGUGAAAUAUGACGGCUCAACCGUCAAACUGCCCCUGAAACUGAUAGGCUUGAGUCCGAGAGAGGUAGGUGGAAUUCCAGGUGUAGCGGUGAAAUGCGUAAAUAUCUGGAGGAAC